rnacentral:lncRNA from 1 species
GACUGCUGCCACGCUGGCUGGCUAGGUUGCUCUGUGCUCCCGGCUCCCAGCCAACCCUCUGUGGCUGAACUGCUCAGAACUGUCCGUCCAGCUUGGAGACUCACACAGACCUCCUACAGUUUUACCACCAUGUGCUCAGGACCAGCUGAGACGUGUCCAGAAGUCUUGAACCGAGUAGGGCUCGGCUUUUAGCAGGGUCUGUGCAGCAGCCUUAAAGCCUCACCUCAUUUAGUGGUUGCGGCCGAAAGGCUGUAUACUCUCUUAGGUAAGUGUAGCCACUUCUGUGACCUCUCCCCACAGCUGCCACUCACCACUGUCACACGCUGUGACUAACUGAAAACCUGUGUCACCCACUGGUCAAAGAUAGUUAUUGCAUCUGGAGUAGAAAUCAGGUAAAAUUAUGGAGGAAUAUUUAUCAUUUGCUAAAAUUGGUAAUAUUUUUGCUUAUUACGUGAAUUCAAUGUUUAAGGAGGAUGCUAAUUUGCCAAUUACUGGCCUAUAUGCCAUAAUGGCAGUUAGCUUGCUGGUACAAAUAAUAUUACUAGCCAGAGGACUCAGGAAUAGGAAUAAGGAUAACCUCAUCACCUGCUUACAGGAGAUAAUAGCUUUAUGCAGUGAGGUUUUGGAGGACAGAUUAGGUCACAAUUGUACAGCAAGUGGAACAGAAAUUGGAUGAUAAGCUUGGCUCUGUGUUCAAUACGCUAAAGACAGAGCUGUCUGAUGAGAUGCAACAUAUUUAUGAUAAGAUAAACACAGAGAGAUUCUCCUUGUCUGAGGCCUUAGAGGCUAGGCUGUCAGAAGACCAUAAUGAGCUAAAGAAUAUCUGUAGCCAGCUAGAAACUCAGAUAGGCAAUGUUACCCAGCAACUAGAUGCAACUGUGCAAAAUACCCAGGAUAGGGUUGAAGAAUUGGACAAUGCCAUUCAAUCAAUUAUUGAAGCAUCCAAGGUAGCAGAUCAGAAAUUUGAGUCUAGAUUUGAAUGUUUGGAAGAUAAUUUACAGUACAGGGCU